ACGGGCAUAGUUCAACGGUAGAAUAGUGGUCUCCAAAACCAUUGAUCUUGGUUCGAAUCCAGGUGCCCGUGCCA
rnacentral:tRNA from 1 species